CAAUAUGGCGGACGAAAUCAUUUCAAAUCUCCUGGUGGUCAUUCUUGAUGCCAAUCCGGUGUGGUGGGGGAGAAUUGUUUGUGAAGGAAAUCCGUCGAAUGGACACGAACAACAACAGAUCAGUUUGACACAUUGCGUGGACAGUCUCAUGGUGUUUUGUAACGCUCAUCUAAUGAUGAAACACAACAAUUGUCUUUCUUUCAUUGUGUCACACACAAGCACAAGCAAGUUUGUGUUUCCAAAAGAAAAUGCUACCGACAGUGUCAAUGACAAUGCUCAGAAAGAUCUCCCAUCAGAUGGGAAAUAUGAAGGGUUUGCUGACGUCAAUGAUGUCAUCAUCACUGAACUGAAGAGUCUGUUAUCUACAGAAGAUUCAAAAGUGGAUGACCACAGCUCAGAGGUGCCUCCCACUCUUCUUGCUAGUGCCUUGACCAUGGCCUUAUGUUAUAUUCACAGAGCAGAGAAAGAAUGCCCAGUUGGGCAGAAACUCAAGUCUCGAAUUUUGGUUUUGAAAGCUGCACCAGAUGUAUCUACACAAUAUAUGCCAAUAAUGAAUUGCAUUUUUGCUGCUCAAAAAAGUAACACUGUGAUUGAUGCCUGUGUACUAGAUGAACACUCAGGAUUUUUGCAGCAGGCAGCUGACAUAACAGGUGGAGUGUAUCUCAAAGUACCACAGACUUUUGCUUUACUUCAAUACCUACUGUGGGUGUUUCUUCCCGAGCCGUCAGUCCGUGAACAGUUGAUUCUUCCCUCAUCAGUACACAUUGACUACAGGGCUGCGUGUUUUUGCCACAGGCGACUUGUGGACAUUGGUUUUGUUUGUUCAGUUUGUUUAUCAAGUAAGACUUAUAACACUCUCAAAGCCAUCUAUUUUGACCUAUUUCAAAUAGGCAGGAGCCUCAAAGUAAGAGUAUACCUUACCAGAGAGCUACACUGUAAGAACAAACCAAACAUACCCUGUAUCUUGAUUCUCACUCCCAGUGGACGAGAGAGUUAUUUAACAGAUAGUUAUUAUAAAAGGCCGAUUUGCUCUUUUUUUCAGUAUUAAUCAAUUACCAUUUGCUCCAAUUCUGGCCCUCUUUCCGUCACGCAACUCUUCACACUUAGGAAAGAGGGUCCCCUUUUUGUAAGUGCAGCAUUGUGUGACAGAGAGGGCCAGUACUGGACAACAUUAAUUUCUGGUUAUGAUCAAGAAUGGAAAAGUUUGGAAGUUUGGGAGAACCAAAAAUGCCAUUUGAACAUGAGCUGCAAACAUUAGUGUUUUCAUACACUAGUUUUUCUGAGUUUUGGGUCUCUCAUACAGGUUUAUUUCUAAUACAACUUUAAAUUAGUUUUCACACUAUUCCGAACUGUAAUUUGUGAAAUCUUCUGCAACCGAAAUGUGGUUUGUUUUUCUUUUGCUGUUUUUUGCAGUUUAUUGCCAGUUCAUUCCACUCUGUCUCACCUGCCAGACAAGAUUUAAACUUCCAGCCCUCCCCAUUGUGAGACCAAAGAAGAAGAAGAAAGAAAA
rnacentral:misc_RNA from 1 species